ACCAGGAUGGCCGAGUGGUUAAGGCGUUGGACUUAAGUUCCAAUGGGGGCAUCCCCGCGUGGGUUCGAACCCCACUUCUGGUA
rnacentral:tRNA from 1 species